CGGCAAGGACGCUUCGCCUGGUUUCUCUGCGAGGUGCCGGUGAGCGGAGAGGGUCCGGGUGUAGCGAUGUAGCGGCGAUGGCUGAGGUGGUGCUGGUGUACAGCUGGACGUCUGGAGCUUGCUGAUGAAUAUUGUACAGGACUUGAUCCACCUGAACAUCUGGGCUCUGUUGUCAGGGAAAACAUACCUGCUUUAGAAGUCAUCUCACACUCUGCAGACAAGAUGAGAGACAUUUCCCUGCCAAUCUGCUCCUGGUAUUUUAUUUACAUCAUAGGAAAAGCCCCAUGGUCCUGUGACUGCGCCGACUGGCUGAGACACAGUGCCGCUGGUGCACUGCAUGGCGUGAGCUGACUUCAGCGUGUCUGCCCAGCCCUCUGCUCCACACAAGGUCGCUCUGUGUGUGUUCGGCCUCGGAGAAUGAGGGGAGGCCGCGGCGCACAAUCACCACUAAGCACAUACCUUUCUGCCCCACAGCCCCACCAGCCCAGACACAAACCUAGGGGCUGUAUGUUUAUCAAGCGUCUCAGGGUAAGACUGCUGGUUUAGGACCUCUGCUCGGGACACUUUAACCAUCAUUUUCAUCACGAAUCACUCUCAAUGAAAAGGAUUUAAAGCGCUGACUUUAAAUCAGCACUCAAAUCUGAUAUGCUUGAUAAAUACCAGCUGAGGCCUUAACCCAACCCGGACCACAGCAGAUUAACAAGGUUUGACCGAACCAGUCCUCUGGAGCUCUAUCCUGAUGAGCUCUGUUGGUUUUAUAAGAGGCCCCCUGUGACAGGAUCUGAUAAAACACAGCAGGAGGAGGGUUUGAAAGAGAGCUGGAGAGUACAAGAGAGAAAGAUUGAGAAAGACAAGGACAAUGAGAGACUGAGAGAGUGCAAGAGUGAGAGCGAGUACACACCUCAAUCCAAAAACAAUAUUUAGACUGAAACCUUACCCUCUCCAUCUGGCUCUUUUGAAGGGUGGAUUUUGACUGGUGCCAUGGCUAACUCUUUAUUCCACACUGCUCCUUCUGUAGGUCCGCUGUGACAUUGUUCCUGAAGGACAGUUGUACAGGAAAUAAAUGUAGUGCAUGACAAAGUAAAUUCUAUGACUACUAUCAGGCAUUUAGAAUUUUAUCACACACUGUGCAUAAUUUCUAAUUGAAAUACUGUAAAUUAAUUACAGGUAAAAUGCAGGCAAUGUAUCGCAUAUAUGCAGAACUUAUAUUUUCUGAACUUAUAAGAGUAUUCCUUUCCACUCUUCCUCUCUUCCCAUACUGUGAUUCAAACUAUGGCCUAAGGCACCAUCUUUAAAGUGAAGGGCGGUCCAUUUGAAACUUCAGCCCCAUAUCUGCAAUUUAGGGGAAUCGUCAAAGAUAUUAGUAAAAGAGUAAGAAAGGGCAAAAAUAGGAUGACUUCCUGAUUAGCCACAUCCUUUAAGCUUUCACAAGUAGAUUGGACCAAACUCACAAUAUCAAAAAUGAGCAUUUGAUUAAUAUUCAUGCUUUAGGUUUUAAUCAUUGACGUUGGAUACAGUGCAACCACAUCAUUCAAUUAAAUCUCAAUGCUGUAACUCACAUUUUCUCCUCAUAUUGCUCUUUGAGUGUUUUAACCCCUGAGUAAACCUCCAUGACAGAUGUAUUGACUUGAAAGCCAAUAGGAACUGAGACAGUGAUGAACUCGUGAUGCCUUUUGAACCCAACUUAACUACAUACUGUACCAUAUUCAGUAAUGCCAUAUUAACUCAAUAUAUGAUCACAACUUCCUUUGAAAGUAUGCCAAGCAAGAAAUUGCCUAUUAGUGUAAUUUUUUUUUAAACUAAGGCUAUAUUUAGCAUCUGCGCAUAAGGAAUUUAUCCUUAGCUUGUUGAAUGAGAGCAUUAAAAACUGCAUUUCACUGUGUAUCUUUGAAAUCUAAGUAAGAUAACGUAGCACUGUUUGGAAAAUCAUUAGCGGUAUUAAUUAAUGGACUGUGCAUUGUUACAUAAUUCUACCAUUCAUAUUAUAUUGCUCAUAUGUAAACAUAUAAAAUUCUGCCCAAUACACUGUACAAUGUAAUGCUGUAUAAUUUUUUGGAAAUGUAUUGUGAAAAAAAUUGAUGUAAUGAUCUGAAUCAACAUUUUAUUUAUGUUUAUUCGCUUUGACUGAGGAGAAACUAAAUCAUUGGUGAUGUCUCUGUGUGUAUCAUGUCAUCUAUGGGUUAUUGACAUCCUUUAAGGGGAAAUUAUUUGCUUUCUUUAUUGCUCCUUAUUACACACCCAGCAGUAAAUUCACACUCUCACAUUUUCCAACCUGUGGUAUUUUGUAAGUGAUAUAUCACUUGGAUAGCUCAUUUUCAAUGUCUCUUAAGUACGGGUUCAGCUAGUAAACCACAAAUUAAUUAAUCACCAUCAACAGCCAAGGUUUUUAUUGUUUUCCCUGUCUAUUUCUUUUGAUACACAGUAUUUGAUCCUUUCAUACAGUUCGAAUUACCGAGGUCUGAAGUCUUAAGUCUUAUGUAGUCUGGUGUGUAUAAGAAGAAAAAUAUCUGAGAUUUUGCUUUUGUAAAUAUAUUUACUAUUUACUGACUUCAGCAUGGCUCUGGGGUCCAGUGAUUUACAAAUAAGGCAAUAGCAUACACAAGUAUGAUUUUCUUGUGUAGAAGUGAAUUAAGGGACACAUUCAAGAUAUUGGUAGUAAUUUACAGAUGUAAUUUUAUGUUGAUAAGUCAGAAUGAGAUAUAAUACAAUGUCUAUUCUUGUUUUGUACAACCCUCGCAGCAUUGCCAGUAAUGUACAUUUCAAUUAACUAUUGUCGCAAUUUGUAGUGAGUAAGGAUGAGGAUCGUUAAUUUUUAUUGAUAUUGAUACCCUUAUUGAGACUGCUU